rnacentral:rRNA from 1 species
UACAGAGGGUGCAAGCGUUAAUCGGAAUUGCUGGGCGUAAAGCGAGUGUAGGUGGUUUUCCAAGUUGGAUGUGAAAGCCUUGAGCUCAACUCAAGAAAUGCAUUCAGGACUGGGAGACUAGAGGACCGGAGAGGAUAGUGGAAUUCCCAGUGUAGUGGUGAAAUACGUAGAGAUUGGGAAGAACACCAGUGGCGAAGGCGGCUAUCUGGACGGUUUCUGACGCUAAGACUCGAAAGCGUGGGGAGCAAACAGG